rnacentral:rRNA from 1 species
UACGUAGGGUGCAAGCGUUGUCCGGAAUUAUUGGGCGUAAAGAGCUUGUAGGCGGUUUGUCGCGUCUGCUGUGAAAUUUCGGGCUCAACCCCGAACUUGCAGUGGGUACGGGCAGACUAGAGUGUGGUAGGGGAGACUGGAAUUCCUGGUGUAGCGGUGAAAUGCGCAGAUAUCAGGAGGAACACCGAUGGCGAAGGCAGGUCUCCUGGCCAUAACUGACGCUGAGAAGCGAAAGCAUGGGGAGCGAACAGGAAUUGAGAAACCCU